rnacentral:lncRNA from 1 species
AAGUAUUCAAGUAUUUUAGCACAACGUCCACUGUAGGGAAGAAGACAGAAUUGAACACUUGAAAUGAAGAACACCCCAAAAAUCAUUUGAUAGGAAAGAGAAACUCACAAAACCUCCACAAAAUGGAUCAGUAAGUUUGAAAAUGAUGGCUCCAAGAACAUGCAAGGUGUCUUUCCACCUGCCAAUUAAGAAAGAUGAGGAAGUGAUUUAUUACUAAAGCUCCUAUACUGUAUGAGGACUUCUAGCCUCAAAGCUAGGGGCUGCUCAUGCCUCCCCCACCACCCC